CUGGCGGCGUGCCUAAUACAUGCAAGUCGAACGGCUUUUCUAUGGAAGCUUGCUUCCACUGAGAAGAUAGUGGCGAACGGGUGAGUAACACGUGGGUAACCUGCCCAUAAGAGGGGGAUAACAUCCGGAAACGGGUGCUAAUACCGCAUAGUUUUCUUGAUCGCAUGAUUGAGAAAGGAAAGACGGCCUUUGUGCUGUCGCUUAUGGAUGGACCCGCGGCGUAUUAGUUAGUUGGUGAGGUAACGGCUCACCAAGACGAUGAUACGUAGCCGACCUGAGAGGGUGAUCGGCCACAUUGGGACUGAGACACGGCCCAAACUCCUACGGGAGGCAGCAGUAGGGAAUCUUCCGCAAUGGACGAAAGUCUGACGGAGCAACGCCGCGUGAGUGAAGAAAGGUUUUCGGAUCGUAAAACUCUGUUGUCAGAGAAGAACAAGUUGGAGAGUAACUGCUCCAGCCUUGACGGUAUCUGACCAGAAAGCCACGGCUAACUACGUGCCAGCCGCUGC
rnacentral:rRNA from 1 species